GACGAACCGCCCGAACGUUGUUCGGAAUCACUGGGCUUAAAGGGCGCGUAGGCGGUCGAUCACGUCCGGGGUGAAAUCUUUCGGCUUAACCGGAAAAGGGCCUUGGAUACGGAUCGGCUGGAGGGAGGUAGGGGCAGGUGGAACUUCCAGUGGAGCGGUGAAAUGCGUUGAUAUUGGAAGGAACGCCGGUGGCGAAAGCGACCUGCUGGACCUCUUCUGACGCUGAGGCGCGAAAGCCAGGGGAGCGAACGGG
rnacentral:rRNA from 1 species